AACCGGCAAGCAACGUUCAAAUCCCAGCAAAUCUGGAAAUCAGCAGGUGUCUGCCGCGCCCAUACUCUUCGUCGUCCCCUUUCUCCCCUUUUUCACGGAAAUCAGCUUUUUCCCAUCCCCUUUACUGUGGUUUCGAAAAUAGCAGAGGGGAUUGAAAUUGUUGUUUGAAUUCUCAAUGGAUUUUCCCCCCCAAAACGAUUUUUUCUUCUUCUAUAUAUUCCCUCUUUCAAUCACUGUUUUAGGGGAGAUUUUUUUUGGCAAGAACUUAUAGAGAAAUACACCUUAAAUAUAUAUACGUUCUUCCCUUGUUUGUGAGCUGCUAGUAUUCAUAGGAGUUUCCGGAAGUUCGAAGUCGGUGGUCAAGUUGUUACUCCUUGUUCACCCUGUCCCUGUUCGCUGCCCACAACAAGGUAAACAACUCUUGGCCUCUUCCCUUCUUCUUUCCGAUUCCGAUGAGUGUUAAAUCAAGAAAUAUUUGUAGUUGGGUUAUGAGCUGAUCUUAUAUAGUUUGAGCCUAAGUUUUCCCUUCUUCGUAGUCUUCCCGAAACUAUUAUGUGUAUUUCGUAUUCAAAAUGAUUUUAUCGCCUGUUUGAUAUGCUUUUCUCUGUUUAUGGCUCUUCUCGAGUUUUUCUUAGCUGAGUUGUGCUCAUUUCGAUUUCUGUUUGUUUAUUCGUUAAUCAUCUUAAUACUACUCCGUCCAUACUUGUCGAAAUAGAGUCUGUGUUUGCUUGUCAUGUGUUUGGAGGAUGCAAAUAAACCAAGAGGUUAUGUUUAGCUAUUCUCGAAAAUGAGUUAUCCGAGUUGCGAGUAGUAGUCUUGAAUAGGAUUGAUUCAUCAUGGUUGGUCCAUGCUCGUUCUUAGUUUCUUUUGUAGCGUCAAUAUUUAUGUGAUACUUGUUGGAGUCGUUCGAAUGCGUCUGAUAGCAAUUGUUUAGGUCUCUGUUUACAACUUGCCUUGUUCCAAGUUUUCUUGUGCUUAACAUUUCUUCAAAGGGUUGUUUAAAUGUUGUGUU
rnacentral:lncRNA from 1 species